GUUUUAAUCCUCACCUUCCCCUGCGUCCCUCACUCCUCCUGAGGCACUGUCUUCUAAUGAAUUGCUUGAAUUUCUCUGACUCUGCUUAAUUAGUGACUUUGGUGCAUUGUGUACAUUGAAAGAAAAAGACAAUGCAGUGAAUGAACGGUUGCUGCUACUGCUUUGUGCACACGGUGUGGAAAAUGACAGCUUGUCUAUAAUAACAUAGUGGAGUCAGAAAAUUAGUUAAGAGCGUGUAAGACCUCAACUAGGAUACCAGGUUUUGACAGCCACUUGGAAAUUAUGAAGAUUCAUCUGACUUAUUUCACUUAGCAUAGUAACCUCAAGAUCCAUCCAUAUUGCUCCAAAUGGUAAGAUUUCAUUGUUUGUUUCUUUUUUUAAUAGCUGAGUAAUCUUCCAUUGUGUAUAUACACUGCAUCUUAUUUUCCAUUCAUAAAUAGAUAGACAGUUAGGUUGCCUCCAUAUCUUGGCUAUUGUAUU
rnacentral:lncRNA from 1 species